CCUACGGGUGGCUGCAGUGGGGAAUAUUGGACAAUGGGGGGAACCCUGAUCCAGCCAUGCCGCGUGUGUGAAGAAGGCCCUCGGGUUGUAAAGCACUUUCAGUGAGGAAGAACGCCUGGUGGUCAAUCCACAUCAGGAAAGACAUCACUCACAGAAGAAGCACCGGCUAACUCCGUGCCAGCAGCCGCGGUAAUACGGAGGGUGCGAGCGUUAAUCGGAAUUACUGGGCGUAAAGCGCGCGUAGGUGGCUUGAUAAGCCGGUUGUGAAAGCCCCGGGCUCAACCUGGGAACGGCCUCCGGAACUGUCGAGCUAGAGUGCAGGAGAGGAAGGUAGAAUUCCCGGUGUAGCGGUGAAAUGCGUAGAGAUCGGGAGGAAUACCAGUGGCGAAGGCGGCCUUCUGGACUGACACUGACACUGAGGUUCGAAAGCGUGGGUAGCAAACAGGAUUAGAUACCCCUGUAGUC
rnacentral:rRNA from 1 species